GACAGAAGGUGCGAGCGUUACUCGGAAUUACUGGGCGUAAAGCGUCCGCAGGCGUCCUUGUCAGUCUGGUGUAAAAGCACGAAGCUCAACUUCGUGUACGUACUGGAAACUUCAAGGAUUGAGUCAUACAGAGGCAUCUGGAAUUCCAUGUGUAGGGGUAAAAUCCGUUGAUCCAUGGAGGAACGCCAAAAGCGAAAGCAGGAUGCUGGGUAUGUACUGACGCUCAUGGACGAAAGCGUGGGGAGCAAACGGG
rnacentral:rRNA from 1 species